rnacentral:rRNA from 1 species
UACGUAGGUGGCAAGCGUUUGUCCGGAAUUAUUGGGCGUAAAGCGCGCGCAGGCGGUCCCUUAAGUCUGAUGUGAAAUCCCACGGCUCAACCGUGGAAGGUCAUUGGAAACUGGGGGACUUGAGUACAGAAGAGGAAAGCGGAAUUCCAAGUGUAGCGGUGAAAUGCGUAGAGAUUUGGAGGAACACCAGUGGCGAAGGCGGCUUUCUGGUCUGUAACUGACGCUGAGGCGCGAAAGCGUGGGUAGCAAACAGGA